UUUAAGAAAUAGUAGCUAUGGCGUGAAACUAAAGAGAGAACAACAAAACUUCUUAGAAACCAGUGUCAGAGAUCAUAGAACGAGUGGUGACAUGAUGAGGGGCAACACAAAAAGCUCGGCAGGUUGAAGAUAUCAUCCCGUUAACGAGUCACCGAUCAUUGUCGGGGGUGGAGUCCGACUGAGGCUGAUCUCAAGCGGUAUUAAAUCUGAAAAAGCUACUAGUUUGUUUUUCAAAAAUUGGUUAGAUAUAUUAAAAAGAGACAAAACAAUGUGGUUGAAGUCAAUCUUGGAAACUGGGUGAGGGCGGAAAAAAAAAGAAUACAUGAUUUGAGUAGAUAAUAGAUUUCCAUUUUGGUACAUCUUAAAUGAUGCGAUUAAAUAAAAUCCAGUACGAUAAACUCUAACUAUCUAUCACAUGCCUAAUCCUAAAGGAUACAUGUUAGAACGCUAUAAAGAUCCCAUUAUCCCUUGUUUUGUUUGAAGGAUUUUGCUGUCCGAAAAGUUCUUAUCAUUUAUAAUUUGAAGAAGUAAACAAUGCAUAAUAUGAUGGUGCCUUUUCAUAUUUUAAAAAAAUAUUUAUAUUUCAUUUAUUUCUUAUUAUUAUAUGUUAAAAUUACAUGAAUAAUUUUUAUUUCACAUUAUAGUACGUAUCAUAUAUUUUUGUAAUUAUUUCAGUUAUAAAUAUUUUACUAACACUUUAUACCCAGUUUAGUUAGAUUUCAUUACAUAUUGUUAUAUUUUAUUUUAAGUAUUUAUUUUAAUAUUUUGAAAAUAUUAUUUAUUGGAUAAGUAUUGUAAAAGAUAAGAAGAUUUUCAGUGCUCUAGAGAAUUCUAUUGGAUAAGUAUGCAACAUAUUUUAGUAAACAUAUCCAGACAUUGGAAGAUAAGAAUCUAGAUAUUUGGUAUAAAAUCUAGAGAUUAUGAUAAUAUUCUCCAAAAUAUUUUAUUUUUAUUUUUGGAGCCUAUAAAUAGUUCAUUCCUCUUAUAUUUGUAACAUGCACAAAAAGUUGAACAGGUGAAACAAAAACAGAUUCAAAGAAACAAAUAGUGGUCUCUUGUAAGUUCUCAAAAUCUCAUUUAUAGUUGUUUAUUUCUUUCUGCUAGUACUAUAAACACUAUCGUUGAUUUAUCUACAACCUCAAUAUUUCUACACUCUCCCAUGCCCUUGUUUCAUUAUUCUCAGCAGUAAAUCACAUCUUUGCUCCCAUUUUGCUUCCUGUUAAAGAACUUUGUUUAUGGUCAUUUCAUAAGUUGUCUCCCAGAAAAUCCAAACUAAACAAUAGCCGAACCUUCAACGCUGAAAUAGUUGACUGCUCAAAUUCUUUCAAACAUCGUUUUCCUCCUUUCCAUAAUUUGUAUUUUAAAAUAACAUGAUGUUUUAAAGAAUCUUGACAGUUAAUUAUUUCUUCUUUGACGGUACUGCCUUUGUUUAGUUUGAUUCAGCAACACCACCACUAAAGAAAGUGAUUUUUCUAAUGUUAUAAAUUAUAACAUCUGAUGUUCCAUAUAGACUGUGAGAAAAUCACUAAACUUGUGAUGAAAACAAGCUGUAUGCCCACAGGAUGAGCCAAAAUUCUUGAAAAUUCUCUAGAAAUCGAAUUAGAGCAGUAAGAGAGAUAUUCACAAAUCAAAUGCAAAGGCGAGAAAAUCUCAAUAUGAUCCUAAGCUCAAUAUAAUCCUACGUGUGUAAUCUUUAGAUUUAAUUAUGGCUAAUUUUUUUGUGUGUUUUGUAUGAGAUGUUAUGCUUAUACUUGAUAACUAUAGACCUUUUAAAAAAAAAAUUAAGAAAAUAGAAUCAUAGAAAAGCCAUUAAAUAGGCCCGUUUCCCAAGGUGCGCCGCUCAGAUGGAUCUCUUCUGCCCUAGCUCCGCCGCUCCUUCCUCCUUCCUCUGAAGUAGCUCUGCUCUCUCUCCAUGGUCUUGAUGGUGACUGCUCCUCCAUCGUGUAUCAGGCCUCCUCCAGAUCCGCCGCCGUUACCGUGUAAGCCCCCUCCGCUUGAAGCUUGCUCUAUAAUCAUCUCUCCGGAACCUUCAGAACCUACAGCCGCCCUCAUUCGCCUCCUCGCUCCUCUACACAUCCUCGAACCUUCUGUCAGUUCUCCGGUUCCUGUGGUUGCAGUUACUCCUUUAAGUUUCUUUGCAACGACCAAGGGUUUAACCAGAUCCGUUUUCAUAUCAUUUGGAGUGUGAGUUUCUACUACGUGUAGAUUUCAGUCCAGUCCCACUUUCCAGAUCGAGCCAUAGUUUCUCUUUGUAGGAACCUCUCUUCGUUCAGAAGAUAUCUUCUCUGUUUCUUCUUGCAACAAGCCCUACAUGGAUGAGUAUUACCUUGUUUUAGGUAUUAGUUGUGUCAAGAUGAAUCAUUUACCUCUGAAUGAGGAUGUUGCCCUCUCUUUGAAUCUUCUCUUACCUCUGGUUGAGGAUGUUACAAGCUCUCUGCCUUUACCUCAGUAUGAGGAUCUGACUUUACCUCAGUAUGAGGAUGUUACUCUGUUUUAUCUCCUUUUAGUACCUCUGUAUGAGGUUCGUAUUAGGACCUUUGUCUUAUCGGCUCUGGUUUCUAUGGUUGCAGAGAUUGAUGCUUUUAAAAAAUGGAGGUUUCGGAUGGUAUAUCCAUGGUAUGUAUGUAGCCCAUUGCUCUCAAUGCUCUAUUCUAUAUGUGGUUUCAACCUUUGCUGUCGAAACCUUGGCGCUGCCGGAAGCUCUUCUUGCAAGAUCGUGUGCUGGACUCUCAAAGCUUCAAGUAUUUUCAGACUCUAAUGUCUUCUUCUCUGCCCUGCAUUCAGGGAUGGAUUUGAAUGGGAUUGCAGGUUGUCUUCUUGACAUCACAAACCUUGCCACUCCCUUCACUCUGUUAUCAUUUAAGUUUUAUCAGUGCACAGCAGUAUGUUUGGCUGUUGCUUUUGCUAUGUAUGUGUUUUUCAGACUAUGUUUCACUUUUACUCUCUUUUGAGUUAUGAAUGAAAGAAACCCUUGACAAAAAAAAAAGAGAGAGAAAAAUUUUGAAAGAAAAGAUCUUGCAUCUACUUUACUUAUAACUUAUAGAUCACUUUUACAUUGCAAAUAAUAAAAGGACAAUUUUUUCAGAUCAUUUGUGGGUCUUUUGUUAAUCUGAAUUUGAGACGUGCGAGUUGAAGACAUGAAUUCGAUAGUGGUUUAUUUGAAAAAGUUCAUCGAUCGAUCAUAAGGCGACUUCAAAGAAAAAAACAAAAAACUUUGUAAAAGGUGAUGAAUUCGACAAGAAAGUUAGAGAAGAGGAAACCCUAGUUCUUGUACCGAAUUGCGUGUGAAUGUCAAUGUCUUUCCUCAUCCUUUGCUUUCUCUUUUAAAAAUCGAUCGACUUGUUUCCUUUUCGCUCCAAAUCGGUAUACUUCUUUGACCGACUUUAAGUCAAUUGGGCCAGGCUAUGUUUACAUGAUGGGUUUUAUCUAAGGAGGGUGUAUUGAAUCUGAAAUUUGAAGUAAUUUUAUUUUUUAACGAGUUUGUAGAUGAUUGCAGGAGAAUUAGAGAAUUUGGUGUGAUUUUUGUUAAAACAUUCUAGAAUCUCAUCUAAAACAGUGAGAUUUGAAUUUUUAUUUUUAUAAUUAAAGAACUCCCCUCAAACACUCUAGAAACAGUUAAAGUACUCUAGAAUCUCCAACUUAAAUUUUGUUCAACAACAGCGGAUUUCAGAGUGUUUUAUGAAAUGACAAGUUAAAUAACAUUGGAUUUUAAAGUGUUUUUCAAAAUUCACGUUUGAAUAACAACAGAUUUUUCAUUUUAAUACAAAUCACUUGAAACUCUUAGUUGAAUACACCCCCGUAAGUGAUUUAAUUGAUUUCCAAUAGUGUUAGCCUUUGAUCAAUAUUUGUUUUCCAUAUACACUGAAAACGUGGGGGAAGGGGACAAGAUUGGCUCCAAGUGCUACAAAGUAGAGAAGUUACGUGGUACUACGUAAAAUCAAUACAAAACAGUUAGUCUGAUUCAUUGAAUAUAGUUAUUUCUUCUUCAUAAUCAUAUAUGUAUGUAUACGUUCCGGUUUGUGUUACUAACUAUCACAAAUCAUGAUGGCUGAUUUUUUUCAGAUAAUGAUAUGGUAAGUAUAGAGAGAGGCCACACUGAUGUUGGUCAAAGAAUCAAAAACACCCUAUCAAAUUGUGUGAUUUAUGAAAAAAGAAACAAAUAAUAUUUUUAAAGGAAAUUGGUAAACUAGAUGCUUUAAUCAUUAGGUUAAAUCUACGAAGUCUACUAAGGAAAAGAAAAAACAAGAACGAGCAAAAAGAAGAUAAUUUAUUCACUUCUAGGGCAAUUGAAUUUUGAACGUUGAGCUUGAUAAUUUUCUAUCAGAAAUUUGUUGAAUCUUCCUAAAAAUGUUGAAAUUUUUUGAAGAAAUCAAGCAUGAGGUUCAAGAAGUAACUCUUUCUAAACAUUGAGGAAACUAUCUAAAUUUGAGGUAAUUAUCUUCGUCAAAUAUGAUCUACCAAAACAAAGGAAAACUAUUUUCCUUUGUCCAUUAGCCAAUUAAGUUCUAUGAACAUAAGAAAUUGGACAAUUAACUACUGAAAUCGGAAAUGGUCUUUAUAUAAAUUUUCUUUUCUUUUUGUUAGUUUGGAAAUGAUCUAGCCUUAAAUAAAUAUAAGUUUUCCUUGGACUUUGAAAGAUGAGUGGAGUAGAUUUCUCCAAGUGCUACAGAAAAGAGAACGUGAAAGAAGAGCCAAAAGCUUAUAGAUUGUUUUUAUGGUACCCAUUCCAAUUGAUUAGUUACCCAUUAAUCUUUCCUCCAUUUGCUGGGUAUUCAAUGACUGAAGACGUUAGAAAAGGUCGCAGCCCAUUUACUUGAACUUUCAUUUUCACUGUAAGUUAGAGAUAUCAGACUCCCUAGAGAUACCUAUAUAUGUCUUCACCAAUACUAUGUUGGUAGCCCCAGUCUAGAGAUGAACAGGAAUGCCUUGGACUUUAAUCCAGAAGAGAAUUAAGGAAGGGAACAUCGUAUAGAUGGUGGGUUUCCAUCUUUGUAUUAUCACCAUCCAUUCUGCCAAAUUGAAGUCUAUUUUCAAUAAUCAAAAAAAGGUCAGACUCCAGAAUGAACUGGAGUUGGAACAAGCCUUUUCCUAAAGUUGUUCUCUCUUUAGUUUCACACCAGAGCUACUAUUUCUUAAUAUUCUUUGAGCAAUUCCCCUUAAGCUAUGCAUAAAGUCCUAUCAUAUUCUACCACAACUCUUUCAUGGUUUGCGUGAAACUAAAGACAGAACAACAAAACUCCUUAGAAACCAGUGUCAGAGAUCAUAGAACGAGCGGUGAGAUGAUGAGGGGCAACACAAAAAGCUCAGCAGGUUGAAGAUAUCAUCCCGCUAACGAGUCACUGAUCAUUGUCGGGGGUGGAGCUCGAUUGAGGCUGGUCUCAAGCGGUAUUAAAUCUGAAAAGCUACUAUUUUUUU
rnacentral:lncRNA from 1 species